rnacentral:rRNA from 1 species
UACGGGGGGUGCAAGCGUUGUUCGGAAUUACUGGGCGUAAAGGGUUCGUAGGCUGCCUGCUAAGUCUGACGUGAAAUCCCUCGGCUUAACCGGGGAACUGCGUCUGAUACUGGAUGGCUUGAGAUCGGGAGAGGGAUGCGGAAUUCCAGGUGUAGCGGUGAAAUGCGUAGAUAUCUGGAGGAACACCGGUGGCGAAGGCGGCAUCCUGGACCGACACUGACACUGAGGAGCGAAAGCCAGGGGAGCAAACGGG